ACCCUCCAGGAGAAGAUGUCAUCAAGAUGCUGUCCACAUCAGGGAUCAUGACAAUGUCACGCCAGAUAAAAGGGCCCCAGACCAUCCCCUAAUCAUUUAGGCCACUGAGAUUCUGGUUAGAAAUGCCUUCAGACACCACCACCAUCACCAAUAAUAAUAGAGUAAUUAUGAUGUUGCCGAUUAUGAUGUUGCAGAUAACUAACAUUGACAUAGCAUCAUUGUACUAUGUGAUGGGGCUACAUAGAGAAAAAGCAAACAAACAAGAAAGCAUUCACUGUCAAGAAACUCACAUUCCACUGGGGGAGAAAACACUUAUGAAGCAGAUCAGCUCCAGUGAGAAUGGAGAAUGAAAGGUCCAACAGAUCUGGAGUCCUUGGGAGAAUCAAAUGAGAGAACCCUGAAAAGUUUCUGCAGGCACAUACUCAUUUUCCAGAAGAGGAAACGGAGGCAAACCGAAUAAAGCAACUUGCCCAGGUCACCCA